AUGAGUAAAAUACUUCCUAUAGCCAUCCUCCUGCUCUGUCUUCUGAGUCACGGAACUGGUAUGGCCACAAUUUCAGCUCGGGAUGACAAGGAUUUCUUCAGAUACUGUCCACCGUCCUGGUGCAGCAAAGAUGGACCUGAAAUCAGGUUCCCGCUCAGGCUUGAAUCCAGCAAUUCAUCAUCAUCAUGUGGUGCAACAUGUGCGAAGAUAACAUGCUCUGGCCAAGACACCAUUCUGCUUCACCCACUUCUUGGACCAUGCAAAGUGACCGCCAUAGAUUAUAGCCGCGCUGCCUUCAGCAUUGUCCCACUUGUAGACUCCUGCCCGCUUCAGAAGCUCAUCUCCAUAAAUCUCCCAGCCAUAGCUGAUGUCAAUCGUUGUGCACUAUAUGAGUCCACACCUGGAACAUUAGUACAUUGUUCAAGUGUGUUUACACCAAGUGGCACUGCUGAAUUUGCAGGUGACAUAUAUCCCAAGAAUACUGCCGAUUAUAUUGUUGGCCCAAUCUCUUGCUUUAGCAACCAAACUCUGUUUGUGUAUUUGGUGAUGCCUCGCCUAUACAUGAAUGUGCUUCCCUUGGACUGCAAGGUCAUCUCACAUGGCAACAUUCCGAUGCCCAACCCAUCGGUUUCCACGCAUGACCCUACGUUCAAGCAAUUAUCGGAAAAAAUAAUCAAUUUUGCUGAAAUAACUGCUAAUUGGGAGUAUUCUAAUUGGGAUAACGAUGGAAGCAUUCCCAGC
rnacentral:rRNA from 1 species